UACAGAGGGUGCAAGCGUUAAUCGGAUUUACUGGGCGUAAAGCGCGCGUAGGCGGCUAAUUAAGUCAAAAUGUGAAAAUCCCCCGAGCUUAACUUGGGAAUUGCAUUCGAUACUGGUUAGCUAGAGUGUGGGAGAGGAUGGUAGAAUUCCAGGUGUAGCGGUGAAAUGCGUAGAGAUCUGGAGGAAUACCGAUGGCGAAGGCAGCCAUCUGGCCUAACACUGACGCUGAGGUGCGAAAAGCAUGGGGGAGCAAAACAG
rnacentral:rRNA from 1 species